rnacentral:rRNA from 1 species
AGUGAACGCUGGCGGUAGGUCUAACACAUGCAAGUCGAACGGCAGCACAGUAAGAGCUUGCUCUUACGGGUGGCGAGUGGCGGACGGGUGAGGAAUACAUCGGAAUCUACUUUUUCGUGGGGGAUAACGUAGGGAAACUUACGCUAAUACCGCAUACGACCUACGGGUGAAAGCAGGGGAUCUUCGGACCUUGCGCGAUUGAAUGAGCCGAUGUCGGAUUAGCUAGUUGGCGGGGUAAAGGCCCACCAAGGCGACGAUCCGUAGCUGGUCUGAGAGGAUGAUCAGCCACACUGGAACUGAGACACGGUCCAGACUCCUACGGGAGGCAGCAGUGGGGAAUAUUGGACAAUGGGCGCAAGCCUGAUCCAGCCAUACCGCGUGGGUGAAGAAGGCCUUCGGGUUGUAAAGCCCUUUUGUUGGGAAAGAAAAGCAGCAGGUUAAUACCCCGCUGUUCUGACGGGACCCAAAGAAUAAGCACCGGCUAACUUCGU